GGAUGCGAUCAUACCAGCACUAAAGAACCGGAUCCCAUCAGAACUCCGAAGUUAAGCGUGCUUGGGCGAGACUAGUACUAGGAUGGGUGACCUCCUGGGAAGUCCUCGUGUUGCAUUCC
rnacentral:rRNA from 2 species